AAUGACAGAAAGACUGAUCAGGAAGGCAAGAAGGAGCUGCUGCCUGUUCCAGGGCGACCAGCCACCAAAGUUUGAAAGCAGCAACUCAGGAAGAUUAAAGAGAUAACCUGUACAGAACAGAAGGUGAACAGACCCAGCACAGUGGGUGGUUGAGUUCAGAGCAUGGAUUCCAGAGUCAGACUUCUGGGGUUCAAAUCCAACUCCCGGCAAGCCCUUCACCUUCUCUGUGUGGGAUUCGGCAUCUAGUUCAUCUUAUCAAAAUAAACAGGGCAUGUCUGAAGGUGGCCAAAUCCAUUC
rnacentral:lncRNA from 10 species